AGAGUUUGAUUAUGGCUCAGAUUGAACGCUAGCGGCAUGCUUAACACAUGCAAGUCGAACGGUAACAGGUCUAGCUUGCUAGAUGCUGACGAGUGGCGGACGGGUGAGUAACGCGUAGGAAUCUACCUUGUAGUGGGGGAUAACCUGGGGAAACCCAGGCUAAUACCGCAUGAGCCCCAAGGGGGAAAGCAGGGGACCGAAAGGCCUUGUGCUAUGAGAUGAGCCUGCGUCGGAUUAGCUAGUUGGUAGGGUAAAGGCCUACCAAGGCAUCGAUCCGUAGCUGGUCUGAGAGGACGACCAGCCACACUGGGACUGAGACACGGCCCAGACUCCUACGGGAGGCAGCAGUGGGGAAUAUUGGACAAUGGGCGCAAGCCUGAUCCAGCAAUGCCGCGUGUGUGAAGAAGGCCUGCGGGUUGUAAAGCACUUUCAGUUGGGAGGAAGGCCUUAUUGUGAAUAGCGAUGAGGAUUGACGUUACCAACAGAAGAAGCACCGGCUAACUCUGUGCCAGCAGCCGCGGUAAUACAGAGGGUGCGAGCGUUAAUCGGAAUUACUGGGCGUAAAGGGCGCGUAGGUGGUUAUUUAAGUUAGAGGUGAAAUCCCCGGGCUUAACCUGGGAAUUGCCUAUAAGACUGGAUAGCUAGAGUUCGGGAGAGGGAAGUGGAAUUUCCGGUGUAGCGGUGAAAUGCGUAGAUAUCGGAAGGAACACCAGUGGCGAAGGCGACUUCCUGGCCCGAUACUGACACUGNNNCGCGAAAGCGUGGGGAGCGAACAGGAUU
rnacentral:rRNA from 1 species